rnacentral:piRNA from 1 species
GGUGACAUAUUUUUUUUCCUUCUUGUACAAU